rnacentral:rRNA from 1 species
UACGAAGGGGACUAGCGUUGUUCGGAAUUACUGGGCGUAAAGCGCACGUAGGCGGAUUGCUAAGUCAGGGGUGAAAUCCCGGGGCUCAACCUCGGAACUGCCUUUGAUACUGACAAUCUCGAGUCCGAUAGAAGUGGGUGGAAUUCCUAGUGUAGAGGUGAAAUGCGUAGAUAUUGGGAAGAACACCAGAGGCGAAGGCGGGUUGCUGGGCCGACACUGACGCUGAGGCGCGAAAGCCAGGGGAGCAAACGGG